AGUAUGUUUUAGAGUGUUGAAGAAAAGAUUGCUCGCCAUGCUCAAGACAGAACACGUACCACCAGGGAGAUUGUGGUGCAGUUCAAUGCUGAUGUGGCUGAUGGAAUGCAAUGGCAGUUUGUUCCUACUCAACGCGAGACCAAUCCGAAGCUCCUAUUCGCCCUCUUCAGACACGACUCCGGAGCUCUCUUCAGAGACGACUCUGAAGCUCCUCUUCGCCUUCUUCAGACACGACUUCGAAACUUUUUUUCAGACACGACUUCGAAGCUCUUCUUCGCCCUCGAAGACUAUCCUGUGAGCAUAAUGUGCCCCCGACUUCGCCUCAAGGUCCUCAAUUUCCCCAUCUUAACGUAGAAGUAAACCUAUACCUCCUCCAUCCCUUCCUCCGUAGCGGUUGCAUUAGCAGGGCAUUGGCGGGUGUGCUUAUUUACUUGUUUGAUUUUAAUGAAUAGCAGGGCACUGGCAGGUGUGCUAUUUUAUUUAUUUGUUUCAUUUUAAUUCAUAGUAGGGUAAUUGCUUUUGUGCGUUUUAAUUUAUUUGCUUCGAAUUGAUAACAGGGCACUGGCUGGUGUGCUUAUUUAUUUAUUUGAUUUUAAUGAAUAGCAAGGCACUGGCGGAUGUGCUAUUUUAUUUAUUUGUUUGAUUUUAAUUUAUAAAAGGGCACUGACAGGUGUGCUUUUUAAUUAAUUUUAUUUAUUUUAAUUGAUAGUAGGAUAUUUACAGGUGUGCUUUUUUAUUAUUGGUGUAUAAUUGAUAGCAGAGUACUGCCUGGUGUGCUUAUUUGUUCAUUUUCUUUAAAGAAUUAGUAAUUGAUAGCACAGUAUUGACGGGGUGUGCUUUUUUUAUUUUUUGUUUGGUUUUAGUUGAUAGUAGGGCACUCGCAGACAUGUUCGAAUUUAUUUAUUUUUUAAUUGAUUGCAAGGCACUAGCAGGUGUGCUAAUUUAUUUGUUC